AGUGAACGCUGGCGGUAGGCCUAACACAUGCGAGUCGAACGGCAGCACAGUAAGAGCUUGCUCUUACGGGUGGCGAGUGGCGGACGGGUGAGGAAUACAUCGGAAUCUACUUUUUCGUGGGGGAUAACGUAGGGAAACUUACGCUAAUACCGCAUACGACCUACGGGUGAAAGCAGGGGAUCUUCGGACCUUGCGCGAUUGAAUGAGCCGAUGUCGGAUUAGCUAGUUGGCGGUGUAAAGGCCCACCAAGGCGACGAUCCGUAGCUGGUCUGAGAGGAUGAUCAGCCACACUGGAACUGAGACACGGUCCAGACUCCUACGGGAGGCAGCAGUGGGGAAUAUUGGACAAUGGGCGCAAGCCUGAUCCAGCCAUACCGCGUGGGUGAAGAAGGCCUUCGGGUUGUAAAGCCCUUUUGUUGGGAAAGAAAAGCAGCAGGUUAAUACCCCGCUGUUCUGACGGUACCCAAAGAAUAAGCACCGGCUAACUUCGUG
rnacentral:rRNA from 1 species